UACGAGGGGUGCAAGCGUUGCUCGGAAUUAUUGGGCGUAAAGGGCAGGUAGGUGGUCUGAUUUGUCAGGGGUGAAAUCCUUGGGCUUAACCCAAGAAGUGCCCCUGAAACGGUCAGACUGGAGUACUGGAGAGGGUCGUGGAAUUCCCGGUGUAGCGGUGAAAUGCGUAGAGAUCCGGAAGAACACCGGUGGCGAAGGCGGCCUGCUGGGCAGUAUAGCUGACACUGAGGCGCGACAGCGUGGGGAGCAAACAGG
rnacentral:rRNA from 1 species